UACGUAGGUGGCAAGCGUUGUCCGGAAUUAUUGGGCGUAAAGCGCGCGCAGGCGGUUCCUUAAGUCUGCUGUGAAAACCCACGGCUCAACUGCGGAGGGUCAUUGGAAACUGGGGGACUUGAGUGUAGAAGAGGUGAGCGGAAUUCCACGUGUAGCGGUGAAAUGCGUAGAGAUGUGGAGGAACACCAGUGGCGAAGGCGGCUCUCUGGUCUGUAACUGACGCUGAGGCGCGAAAGCGUGGGGAGCAAACAGG
rnacentral:rRNA from 1 species